CCCUUAGAUGUUCUGGGCCGCACGCGCGCUACACUGAUGCAUUCAACGAGUCUAAAACCUGCUCUGAUAGGGGUGGGUAAUCUUUUGAAUGUGCAUCGUGAUUGGGAUAGAUGAUUGCAAUUUUUCAUCUUCAACGAGGAAUGCCUAGUAAACGCAAGUCAUCAGCUUGCAUUGAUUACGUCCCUGCCCUUUGUACACACCGCCCGUCGCUCCUACCGAUUGAAUGAUCCGAUGAAUAUCACGGAUUGAGGAUGCAAGCAGGUUCGCCUGUCUUCAUCUUCGAGAAGUGAAGUAAAUCUUAUCAUUUAGAGGAAGGAGAAGUCGUAACA
rnacentral:rRNA from 1 species